UGGAUCUACAUGCAAGGAGCAUGCGCACUACCACUGGAUGUGGAUGCUGGAUGAGUUGGGCAACCUCGGCCGCUCCAGUACCAACUGCCCGACCAGGUGUUGCUAACCAUAUUCGGCUACUUGCUGUCGGUUUCAGGGCAUCAGCUCUGGAUUGAGACCACAAUAGGAGGCAUAAAGUACCUUGAUAUUUUGAAAACAGAGACGUUAUAGUGAGGUCCACGUUAUAAUGGCAGUGGAGGAAAGUAGGAGAACAACGUUGCCAAUUAUCUGCUUGCCACUGCCUUCUGAAGAGGAUAGCUUGGUCAAUUUUACCACCAACUUUGGUCAAUAUCUAUUGUUAGUUCCUAAAGGCUCUGAAAAUUGAUGAAAUGGAACAAAUUAUUUGGACAAGACACUAGAAAAAUUCUACUCGGUCGGUUUUGAAAUCAUACCUCAAGAAACUUGCGAGAUCUUCGUCUGCACUGCACUAGCAUUUCAGUUGCUUGGUAUGGAUUGUAAGACACAGAAGAAGACGCAUUUAGAUGUUUUUGGAUCUUGAAUCUUGAUGCUCACAGAAAAGCAAGUCAACCAGACAGGGUUUGUAGGAGGCGAACGACAUCCACAACAAUGUGAUAGCGGGGUUCGGGCGCCAACCCGACAGUGACAGUGGUGCACUGCGAGAUCCACCACGGACAGACGGGUGGCUUGUACGGGCUCGGCCAGUUCAUCGACAACCGCAUCCAUUCCCACAGCAACCCCACCGCAACGAGAUCUACAACGGCCAUCAGGGUGGCGUCUUCAUCUUGGGCGAAGGCCGCGGCUUGAUCGAGCAUAACAAUAUCUAUGUGACUCAAUGUGGAUUGUGAAGACACAGAAGGGGACGCAUUUGGAUCUUGAAUCAUGAAUGAAUCAUG